UUGUCUCAAAGAUUAAGCCAUGCAUGUCUCAGUACAAGCCGCAUUAAGGUGAAACCGCGAAAGGCUCAUUAAAUCAGUUAUGGUUCCUUAGAUCGUACCCACAUUUACUUGGAUAACUGUGGUAAUUCUAGAGCUAAUACAUGCAAACAGAGUUCCGACCGGAGACGGGAGGAAUGCUUUUAUUAGAUCAAAACCAAUCGGCGUCGGGAGCGCUCGUCGCGCCCGUCCGCCGCUCAACUUGGUGACUCUGAAUAACUUUCGGCUGAUCGCACGGUCUCGCACCGGCGACGCAUCUUUCAAAUGUCUGCCUUAUCAACUGUCGAUGGUAGGUUCUGCGCCUACCAUGGUCGUAACGGGUAACGGGGAAUCAGGGUUCGAUUCCGGAGAGGGAGCCUGAGAAACGGCUACCACAUCCAAGGAAGGCAGCAGGCGCGCAAAUUACCCACUCCCGGCACGGGGAGGUAGUGACGAAAAAUAACGAUACGGGACUCAUCCGAGGCCCCGUAAUCGGAAUGAGUACACUUUAAAUCCUUUAACUAGGAUCAAUUGGAGGGCAAGUCUGGUGCCAGCAGCCGCGGUAAUUCCAGCUCCAAUAGCGUA
rnacentral:rRNA from 1 species